CCUACGGGUGACAGCAGUGAGGAAUAUUGGUCAAUGGCCGAGAGGCUGAACCAGCCAAGUCGCGUGAGGGAAGACGGCCCUACGGGUUGUAAACCUCUUUUGUCGGGGAGCAAAGCGAGUCACGUGUGACUCAUUGAGAGUACCCGAAGAAAAAGCAUCGGCUAACUCCGUGCCAGCAGCCGCGGUAAUACGGAGGAUGCGAGCGUUAUCCGGAUUUAUUGGGUUUAACGGGUGCGCAGGCGGAGGUGCAAGUCAGCGGUAAAAUUGCGGGGCUCAACCCCGGACUGCCGUUGAAACUGCAUCCCUUGAGUGCGCGAGAAGUAGGCGGAAUGCGUGGUGUAGCGGUGAAAUGCAUAGAUAGCACGCAGAACUCCGAUUGCGAAGGCAGCAUACCGGCGCGCAACUGACGCGCAUGCACGAAAGCGUGGGUAUCGAACAGGAUUAGAUACCCCAGUAGUC
rnacentral:rRNA from 1 species